UACGUAGGAGGCGAGCGUUGUCCGGAAUUACUGGGCGUAAAGAGCGCGUAGGUGGCGCGAUACGACCGGUGUGAAAUCCUCCGGCUCAACUGGAGGGGGUCACUGGUAACGGUCGUGCUUAUGAGUGCAGGAGAGGGACGUGGAACUCCGGGAGUAGCGGUGAAAUGCGUAGAGACCCGGAGGAACACCAGUGGCGAAGGCGGCGUCCUGGCCUGCGACUGACGCUGUGGCACGAAAGCGUGGGGAGCAAACAGG
rnacentral:rRNA from 1 species